UACGUAGGGGGCUAGCGUUGUCCGGAAUCAUUGGGCGUAAAGCGCGUGUAGGCGGUUCGGUAAGUCCGCUGUGAAAGUCGGGGGCUCAACCCUCGAAUGCCGGUGGAUACUGUCGAACUAGAGUGCGGAAGAGGCGAGUGGAAUUCCAGGUGUAGCGGUGAAAUGCGUAGAUAUCUGGAGGAACACCGGUGGCGAAGGCGGCAUCCUGGACCGGUAUUGACGCUGAGGCGCGAAAGCUAGGGGAGCAAACGGG
rnacentral:rRNA from 1 species